GACGAACGCUCGCGGCGUGCUUAACACAUGCAAGUCGAACGGAAAGGCCCUGCUUGCAGGGUACUCGAGUGGCGAACGGGUGAGUAACACGUGGGUGAUCUGCCCUGCACUUCGGGAUAAGCCUGGGAAACUGGGUCUAAUACCGGAUAGGAGCCAUUUUUAGUGUGAUGGUUGGAAAGUUUUUUCGGUGUAGGAUGAGCUCGCGGCCUAUCAGCUUGUUGGUGGGGUAAUGGCCUACCAAGGCGGCGACGGGUAGCCGGCCUGAGAGGGUGGACGGCCACAUUGGGACUGAGAUACGGCCCAGACUCCUACGGGAGGCAGCAGUGGGGAAUAUUGCACAAUGGGCGCAAGCCUGAUGCAGCGACGCCGCGUGGGGGAUGACGGCCUUCGGGUUGUAAACUCCUUUCGCUAGGGACGAAGCUUUUUGUGACGGUACCUAGAUAAGAAGCACCGGCUAACUACGUG
rnacentral:rRNA from 1 species